rnacentral:rRNA from 1 species
AGAAAAUAGAUACCCGGGUAGUCCACGCCCUAAACGAUGCAUAUUUGGUGUGGGCAGUUCAUUCUGUCCGUGCCGGAGCUAAACGCGUUAAAUAUGCCGCCUGGGGAGUACAGUCGCAAGGCUGAAACUCAAAGGAAUUGACGGGGGCCCGCACAAGCGGUGGAGCAUGUGGUUCAAUUCGACGCAACGCGAAGAACCUUACCUGGGCUCGAACGGCUGAUCAACGGAGGUGGAAACAUCUUUACCCCGCAAGGGGGUUCAGUCGAGGUGCUGCAUGGCUGUCGUCAGCUCGUGUCGUGAGAUGUUGGGUUAAGUCCCGCAACGAGCGCAACCCUUGUCCUGUGUUGCCAUCAUUCAGUUGGGAACUCGCAGGAGACCGCCAGGGAUAACCUGGAGGAAGGUGGGGAUGACGUCAAGUCCUCAUGGCCUUUAUGUCCAGGGCUACACACGUGCUACAAUGGACGGUACAAAGCGCAGCAAACCCGCGAGGGGGAGCCAAUCGCAAAAAACCCGUUCUCAGUUCGGAUUGCAGGCUGC